UGAGUAACGCGUGGGUAACCUGCCUUAUACAGGGGGAUAACAGUCAGAAAUGGCUGCUAAUACCGCAUAAGCGCACAGAGCUGCAUGGCUCAGUGUGAAAAACUCCGGUGGUAUAAGAUGGACCCGCGUUGGAUUAGCUAGUUGGUGGGGUAACGGCCCACCAAGGCGACGAUCCAUAGCCGGCCUGAGAGGGUGAACGGCCACACUGGGACUGAGACACGGCCCAGACUCCUACGGGAGGCAGCAUG
rnacentral:rRNA from 1 species